GACGAACGCUGGCGGCGUGCCUAAUACAUGCAAGUAGAACGCUGAAGGAGGAGCUUGCUUCUCUGGAUGAGUUGCGAACGGGUGAGUAACGCGUAGGUAACCUGCCUGGUAGCGGGGGAUAACUAUUGGAAACGAUAGCUAAUACCGCAUAAGAGUAGAUGUUGCAUGACAUUUACUUAAAAGGUGCAAUUGCAUCACUACCAGAUGGACCUGCGUUGUAUUAGCUAGUUGGUGAGGUAACGGCUCACCAAGGCAACGAUACAUAGCCGACCUGAGAGGGUGGUCGGCCACCCUGGGACUGAGACACGGCCCAGACUCCUACGGGAGGCAGCAGUAGGGAAUCUUCGGCAAUGGGCGGAAGUCUGACCGAGCAACGCCGCGUGAGGGAAGAAGGUUUUCGGAUCGUAAAGCUCUGUUGUAAGAGAAGAACGAGUGUGAGAGUGGAAAGUUCACACUGUGACGGUAUCUUACCAGAAAGGGACGGCUAACUACGUG
rnacentral:rRNA from 1 species